rnacentral:lncRNA from 1 species
GAGCAGCCAACCGAUCGGCUGACUCCCUUCCCCGUUUCCUGUCGCCAAAUAAUUUCGGCGACCUCCCAUCACCACCCUCAAACCCCCACUGCCCAACAACCAAUAAACCACCAAAACAACCGUAUCACGCUGGAUCCCACCACCAGUCCCCUCCAUUUCUCCACUUUUCCAUCACUGCUUCGCCGGAGGUGAUGACCGGUGAGGCUUUCGGCUGCUACCAUCAUAUUUAUACCCUUCAUUCCAUUUUUACUCUUUACCAUUUCAUGAUUUUACAGAUCUUGUUAUUUUUUAUUUUAUUCAGCGUCAUUUCGGUAUCCCUUACCAUAGAAGCAAUGUUCUCGAUCAC